rnacentral:lncRNA from 1 species
GCGGUGCUCCUCCGCGCCGCAAAGUAGCGCCCCCCAGGCGCGGUUCCCCCGGCCUUUUAACGGCUUGCCUGGGAGUGAAACCCACUUACGUCACCCGUCCCCUGCUCCCCUUUAUCUCUUGCCUGUCUGACCGGUGACUGCGGAGAAAAGGGUCUCCCGGAGUGGAGGGGGGCACACGGGGCUGGCCGGGACUCGUUCGCUAUGUUCCGUUAUCUGUCGUGAGGCGGAGGGAUCUGGCGGAGGGAGGCGGAGGGAGGUGUUUAUGAGGAGCUGGGGGCGGAGGAGGAGAAUUAGUCCGAGUGGAGCGAGCGAGUCGAGUGGUUGUCUGUUCUGGUCUCGGAAACCGGUAGCCCUUGCAGCAUGGCUGACCAACUGACUGAAGAGCAGAUCGCAGGUAAAUUUUCCAGAGUUUGUACAAAUGAUGACAGCGAAGUGAAGACCCUGUACAGAAGGUGUUAAAUUUCUUGUACAGAACUGUUAAUUUGCCUUUUCUCUGUUUGUAACUUAUCUGUAAAAGGUUCCCCCACUGUCAGAACAUGCAUGUAUAGUAAUUAGGACUCCAUUCCUCCAUGUUUCUUCCCUAUCUUCUGUCAUUGUCCUUCAACCUUAUUUUAGAAAACUGAUCAAGUACCAUGUUGCAUGUGGCUUCCUCUGGAUAUAUCUAAGCCCUUCUGCACAUCUACACUUAGAUGGAGUUGGUCAAAGGGAACAUCUGGGUUAUGCCUUUUUUACAGUAGCUUUAGGAACCGUCGGCAUGUUGCUGUUGAAGUGUGGAGUUGUGAGCGUGGACUGUGGACAGUCGACAGCGUGUACUAAGAGUUGCACUACUGCAAACGGGUGUUCUGUCCGGUACUCACUCGUACACUAUUUUUUUGUACUGCUGGUAUUGUACCAGAAACAUUUUCUUUUAUUGUUACUUGCUUUUUAAACUUUGUUUAGCCACUUAAGGAAGAUCUGCUUAUGGCACAAUUUGCCUCAAAUCCAUUCCAAGUUGUAUAUUUGU